ACGAACGCUGGCGGCAUGCCUAACACAUGCAAGUCGAACGCCAUGGUUUCGGCCAUGGAGUGGCGCACGGUGUGAGUAACGCGUGGGAACCUGCCCAGCAGUAUGGGACAGGACCGCGGGAAACUGCGGCUAAUACCGUAUAUACGCCCCUGCAAGGGGGGGAAAGAUUGAUCGCUGUUUGGGAGGGGCCGCGCGUCGGAUUAGGUAGUUUGUGGUAUGGGGUAAUGGCCUACCAAGCCUGCGAUCCGUAGCUUGGUCUGAGAGGAUGAUCAGCCACACUGGGACUGAGACACGGCCACAGACUCCUACGGGAGGCAGCAGUGGGGAAUAUUGGACAAUGGGUGCAAGCCUGAUCCAGCAAUGCCGCGUGAGUGAUGAAGGCCUUAGGGUUGUAAAGCUCUUAUCACACCGCGACGAUGAUGACGGUAGCGUUGAGAAGAAGCCCCGGCUAACUCCGUGCCAGCAGCCGUCGGGUAAUACGGAGGGGGGCAAAGCGUUGUUCGGAAUUACUGGGGCGUAAAGGGGCGCGCAGGGCGGCGUACUGCUCAAGUCAGGCGGUGAAAGGCCUGGGCUCAACCCGGGAAUUGCGCUUGAGACUGGGGCUGGCUUGAGUGGCGGGGAUGAGGAUGGUGGAAUUCCCAGUGUAGAGGUGAAAUUCGUAGAUAUUGGGAAGAACACCGGUGGCAGAAGGCGGCCAUACUGGACCGGCAACUGACUGACGCUGUAGAGGCGCGAAAGCGUGUGGGGAGCAGACCAGGAUUAGUAUACCCUGGUAGUCCACGCCGUAAACGAUGAGUGCUAGACGUAUGGGGGGGCCUAGCCUUCCGGUGUCGCAGCUAACGCAUUAAGCACUCCGCCUGGGGAGUACGGCCGCAAGGUUAAAACCCCAAAGGAAUUGACGGGGGCCCGCACAAGCGGUGGAGCAUGUGGUUUAAUUUCGAAGCAACGCGCAGAACACUUACCAGCCCUUGACAUGGGGAGUGUGAGCCUGGGAGACCGGGUUCUUCAGUUCGGCUGGCUCCCGCACACAGGUUGCUAGGCAUGGCUGUCGUCAGCUACGUGUCGUGAGAUGUUGGGUUAAGUCCCGCAACGAGCGCAACCCUCAUCUUCAGAUUGCCAGCGGUUUUGGCCGGGCACUCUGAAGACAACUGCCGGUGACAAGCCGGAGGAAGGCGGGGAUGACGUCAAGUCCUCAUGGCACCCCUACGGGCUAGGGCUACACACGUGCUACAAUGGCGGUGACAGCGGGAAUGCGAAGGCGCGAGCUGGAGCGAACCCCGAAAAGCCGUCUCAGUUCGGAUUGCACAUCUGCCAACUCGAGUGCAUGAUAGUCGGAAUCGCAUAGUAAUCGCGGAUCAGCACGCACGCGGUGAAUACGUUCCCGGGCCUUGUACACACCGCCACGUCAACACCAUGGGAGGUUGGUUUUACCCGAAGCCGGUCAUGCUAAACCCCGAGAGGGGGGGCAGCCGACCACGGUAAUGGUCAGCGACUGGGGUG
rnacentral:rRNA from 1 species